GCUUAUUUCUGAUAUUCUAACGGUGAACGCUUUUAAUACACUCCAGUUCUUGGAUUUUCGAGGGGUGCCAAAAUGGAGAAUAAUACUUAGUUACUAAGUUUGAAAUUAGCAACCACGUUACUGAUUAGUAUCCAAGUCUGAAACUGGUUACUGCGGUAAACUGGCUUACUAAAAUAGGACUGAUUAUGUAACUAUCAGGUUACUUGAUUGCUAACUAACCGCUAUCUCAGUUGCUUCUGUGGGUGUCUAAGUAACCAGGUAACUAAGUAACCAGGUAACUAAGUAACCAGGUAACUAAGGUUACUUGAUUGCUAACUAGCCGCUAUCUCAGUUGCCUCUGUGGGUGUCGGUGUUGGACUCUGUAUCUCUGUGAAGGAGGACGCUGAGUGGUAUUUCAACGAAGCGCUCGGAAGGUCACUGUCUAGAGUUCUCCGAGAAGACUUCCAACUGAAUAUCGACAUGUUGAGUAUCAACCUGAAGUCAGCUGAGCUGGUCACCAUGCAGAUCGGAGUUAGCGCUAUCUUCGUCAUCGCUGCCUGCUUCCUCAUGCUCGUCGCCACUGUACUUGCAGAACUGAGCAGGAACCUAAACUGAUAACUUCACUUCCGGGCUCAACACAAAGGGAAAUAUUCAGACUCAGCUAUCAUGGUUACCAUGGUUACUCCUACUCCCAGCAAUAUACAAAACUGUACAUUAAAGCCUAUGUAUAUUGUAUAAACGUAAUCAAAUAUUUACAAUUUGCAAAAUGGACUACGAAAUGCUAAGAAAAUACGCACAC